rnacentral:rRNA from 1 species
GACGAACGCUGGCGGCGUGCUUAACACAUGCAAGUCGAGCGGUAAGGCCCUUUCGGGGGUACGACGAGCGGCGAACGGGUGAGUAACACGUGGGUGACCUGCCCUCAGCUCUGGGAGUAAGCCCGGGAAACUGGGUCUAAUACCGGAUAUGACUCCAUGACGCAUGUUGUGGGGUGGAAAGCCUUGUGCGGCUGAGGAUGGGCCCGCGGCCUAUCAGCUUGUUGGUGGGGUGANGGCCUACCAAGGCGACGACGGGUAGCCGGCCUGAGAGGGCGACCGGCCACACUGGGACUGAGACACGGCCCAGACUCCUACGGGAGGCAGCAGUGGGGAAUCUUGCGCAAUGGGCGAAAGCCUGACGCAGCGACGCCGCGUGAGGGAU